UCCGGGACACCACAGAGGAGAUAAAAGAGUUCUCGGCCGACGCCCCACCCGUCCCCUCCCACUUCUACACGGUGGUGACGAGCUGCCAGGAGCUGAACCAGACGGUGGAGGAGUGUGACGGCCCACUCAGGGUCUUUUCCUAUCUGCUUCCACACAGACCGGACAACAGUGAGGCCUGCAACGUGAGUUCAAACCGUCCCCAGCAGGGGGCAGCGCUGUCCCAGCUGUCACUGCAGCUGGCUGCAUGAAUCGGUUCAGAUCAGUCAGUGACUUAGGUACUUUAGGAAUUAGGUACUUUAACCCUUGUGUUGUCCUUGGGUCAAAUUUGACCCAUUUCUAUAUGAGAAUGAUGGGUUUCUUUGAACUAAAUUGCCCCAAAAUAACAUGAAUGCGUGGCUGUACGUUGUAUGGAAGCCAUGUAACAUUCU